rnacentral:rRNA from 1 species
CCUACGGGGGGCUGCAGUCGAGAAUUUUUGGCAAUGGGCGAAAGCCUGACCAAGCGAUGCCGCGUGCGGGAUGAAGGCCUUCGGGUUGUAAACCGCUGUCAGUGGGGAGGAAAGCUUUGUGAAGAGCAAGGCUUGACCUAUCCGCAGAGGAAGUGUGGGCUAAGUUCGUGCCAGCAGCCGCGGUAAGACGAACAACACAAACGUUUUACUGAACUACUGGGCUUAGAGGGUGCGGAAGCUAGUUAGUUGGGAAAUACCUCGGCUCAACCGAGGAACUGCGCCCAAAACUACUGGGCUUGAGGAAGAUAGAGGUAAGCGGAACUUACGGUGGAGCGGUGAAAUGCGUUGAUAUCGUAAGGAACACCUGUGGCGAAAGCGGCUUACUGGGUCUUUUCUGACGCUGAUGCACGAAAGCUAGGGGAGCAAACGGGAUUAGAUACCCCAGUAGUC